AUUACCGUUACAAAGAGAGAGGAAAGAGAUGAGAGUCUCUCUCAGUUACAUCAAAGAAAAUCCAAUAAUUCAAACAAUCUACCCUAUGAGAUAGUUACAUGUGGAAAAAACAAUCACUUAACUAAAUGAAUCUGAAAUGCACACUUGGACUAUGAUCCAAAGCUCACAUUUAAUCGAAGCUUUUAAAUUUGUAGGGACCAAUGUUCAUUUCUUGCAAAACACUUAUGCACUAACACAAAGGAGGGUAAGGAAUUUUACCCCAAGACAUAGUUGAAAACACAGAUGAUCACGGUAAGCGUCACCGCUGCAAAGAUGACUCAAAAAAGGAUUAACAAGAGACGUUAAUACAAAGAACUGAUUUCCAUUCAAGUCUGAGUUCUUACAAAGGAUACACACAUAUUUAUAGGCUAAGGAGAAACUCUCCCGAAACUCUUCUAAAACUAUCUAGGAACAAGAGGAAUCUUCUUCCCUUGUCCACUACUUACACAAGAUAAGAAGAAAUCUCCUUUGUCCGCAGCUUCUUCUUCGUGAUAUAUUUUGGUUUAGAUAAGUAGCUAUAUACACAAUUUUUUGCUAAAUAUGACACAAUUUUGAGAAUGUGUUGGCUCAAUCUGUGUUGAUUGCAACAUGUUUCGCUCCCAUGUGGCGGAGAAGCUGUGGACAUGAAAUGUUAGAAUAUGAGACAAUAGUUGGGCCGAAAUCCUACCGAUUUAAGUUUUAGGCAUGUGGAGAUUUUUGAUUGUUGACGUGCAUAAGCUGAGGUCAUUCUAUCUUGAUUGACGUUAAGUUUUGUCCCAUCCCAGGUACUAUGGUGUGCCACUGCACUUGAUACGUGAGCUCUAUGAAACAUUUAGGAACUUUAAGAUUCGCAUUGCUGAUUACAUUCGUUAUCGAAAGCUCACAUCAAACAUGAAUGAUCAAUUCCCAGAUGCUACGCAUGAAGAACUUAAUGCAAGUGACGCAACUUGUAUCAUUUGCCGUGAAGAGAUACAACAGCCAAGAAACUAUUAUGUGGACACCUUUUUCAUGUGCCUUGCCUUCGAUAAUGGUUAGAGCAAAAGCAUACCUGACCUCCUUGCAGGGCCCUAGUUGUACCUCCUGACAGUGGGAAAGGUACAGCUGGCGGACAUAUAGGGGUUCAUAGUCAGAUGCUCAUUGAUGAGUCGAUUUUAUAUUAUAUAUUUAACCCUAUUCUUAGUAUAUUUUAAUUAAUAUUUUAGAAGAAUUGUGAUACUUUGAAUUGUAUUUCUAAUAUAUGACUUUCGACUUCCUCUGGAGCAAAAUGUGGUCAAAUAGAUGAAUUUUGGAGUAAUUCCAAGUGGAGGACGUUCAUGAGUCAUUUGGCUUGAUUGUGUUAAAAUUUGAAAAUUUUCUACCUAACGGUGAUUGUCUAGCAAUAAAAUAAACGAGUGAUGUGCAGUAUUGAAAUAAUGACAUUUUGGGUUUGAAUUGCGUUUUUGGAGUCUAAGGUGACCUCGGAUAAGUUCGUGGCCUUCUGGAAAUAUGUUCAAAACGUCCUAAUCUUCAAAACAAGAUAUUAUGGGCCGGAUUUGGAGGAUAUCUGAGGCUGAAACGUAGCUAGACAAGUACCUUGGCAGAUUCUCCUAGCUUAAUUAGGACUUUAUUUUCUAAGUUAUUUUAUUAUUAUUUAGUUUCCUAGUUAGAAUAAAAGACUUUGUUUUAGGGUUUGUGCGAUGGUUGAGGAUGGAAUAUAAGGCUUUGCCGUUCAGUAUAAAAUUAUGGUGAGUUGACUGAUGAUUUUAAUUGGGAACAGGGACAGGCACAACGUCUCAGGAUGGUGGAGUUGCGGGUGAUCGUGUGAGCCAAUAUGAAGCCAGGCUCCGAGCUGCUGCUACUGCUGCAUCGAUAUAUUAGAAGUCUCAUGUAUAUCCUUCUGCAAACAGACAAGUAUGGUUGCUUGUGAGAGUGUGUGCUUGAUACAUAUGAUUUGGAUAUGUUGCACUGCAUAGAAUGCUGCAUACUAGACCCAUACAAACUACGCCCUCUUGUGUGAAGGCCUCCUGGAUAUGCAGCACUUCCUCAGGUUCAAAGACAUAUGGUUGUUGACUCCUCUAAUACUGAAUCUAGUGGAGAAGCUUGUAGUGGACAAUCACAACCGCAGCUUGCAACCCCUGGUGGACCUGCAAACUGUUAGACCAAGUCAGUGUUUGAUUCCUGUUCCCGUGACUUCAGGAGGUUGCAAUCAACCUAAACUUUUAUCUACAAAGAGUUAGCUUAGGUUACAACUCCUUUAAAUGUUUGUUGUUUCUGUGAUAUGUUUCCUUUGUAUAUUCUGUUGUAAUUUUUGAAUUUUCAAUAGCCUUGUAAAUAGGGAUUUCAUUCCCUGAUGUAAUCUGAAGUGGAAUAUAAAUGCAUACAGUCUCUCAUUGAAAAGACAUGCAAUUGAAGUGAACUCUUGAGUAUUCUUAAGUCUUACAUGGUAUACGAGCCCUAGUAGUCCAACAACACAGAUCCUAAUUUUUUUUUUCCAAUGGCUAAUAACUUGAAUGGUGCUGCAACCCCAACCAAUUCCAUUCCCAACCCAGCAAUCCCUGCCAUGAACCCCUUAUUGUCCAUGACUACAAUUGUCAACAUAAAAUUGGAUCGAACCAACUAUCCUCUGUGGUUGGCUAAGAUCCUACCAAUC